rnacentral:lncRNA from 1 species
CAUAGGUGGGAAUUGAACAAUGAGAACACAUGGACACAGGAAGGGGAACAUCACACUCUGGGGACUGUUGUGGGGUGGGGGGAGGGGGGAGGGAUAACAUUGGGAGAUAUACCUAAUGCUAGAUGACGAGUUGCAAUGGUAGUGGUAGCUGUAGUAGCAGCAACGAAAAAAUGCAUUUGUUUGGGUGGAGCAUUUGGUGGUGUUAGGAAGAUGGCAGAAUGGCAGAUGCUGCACAAACUGUCUUCCUUCUCUAUAUCAUUUUACACCCUUCACCAACAAUACUCAUUUUAGGCUUCUUUUUUAAGCUUCUACCUCUUUAAUGUAAAUGAGUGUAACUGUCCCUUGAUACUGGCAUACUGCUAAUAGCAGAGCCACUGGCUGAUUGCAGAGCCCCAGGGCCUUGAGUGAACAUAGGCAGUAGCCAGGUAGUGAUUAAAGCAGGUCUUGAGUGAGACCCAGUGCUGUGCUGGCUUCAGGUCUCACCCAGCACGACAUAUUAAACAACACCAUGUAGACACAAUCUGUAAAAUCCAGAGUGUGGAAAAUUCUAAAGGACAAACCUUGGUUUCUUUAACAAAAACAUCAACAGCAACAGCCAAAAUUUGCAAAAUCACAAAAGUCCUUAUAUCGGGAAGAGUAAGGCAGGAGAAUAUGUGAUGAUAGAAGCAUGGAAUGAUGUAAGGCUGCGAGCCAAAGAAUUCAGGUUACCUCUAUUUAAGCUAGAAAAGGCAAGGAAAGGUUCUCCCCUAGAACCUGCAGAAGAAAGACAAUCCUGACAACUUGAGCAAACUUAAUUCAUGAGUGUUGUGUAUGUUCUGAUUGCUGCACCAAUCAGUCAUUCUGUUUUCCCUCUCCGUUUCCUUGGGCCUCCCUAUUUUUUGAGACACAAAAAUAUUGAAAUUAAGCCAACUAAUAACCCUAUAAUGGAGACAAGAAAUAUGCCUAGGUUAUGAAAUUUGACCCAAAAAGUACAAUUGUAUGAUAUCCCCAAUCUAAAAAAUGAACUUGCAUAUAGCAUCAUUUAGUUGCUACAAACUCUUAGUUUGCAUUAGAUUCAAUACUGAAUGGCGAAAUAAUUUACCAUUGAGCUGUCUUUAGGGAUAUACAUACAUAUUCAUACAUAGACACACAUCUUUAAAUUAGUGCUAAUUUAG